UUUUCCAUAGCAUAGCCACUCAGAAGAAGAAGGUCGGGGUGAUUCCUCCUAAGAAGUUCAUCACGAGGUUACGGAAGGAAAAUGAACUUUUUGACAACUACAUGCAGCAAGAUGCCCAUGAAUUCUUAAAUUACCUACUAAAUACAAUUGCUGAUAUUUUACAAGAGGAGAGAAAGCAGGAAAAACAAAAUGGCCGUUUGCCUAAUGGUAACAUCGACAGCGAAAAUAACAGCAGCACACCAGACCCAACGUGGGUUCAUGAGAUUUUUCAGGGAACAUUAACAAAUGAAACCAGAUGUCUUACUUGUGAAACGAUAAGCAGCAAAGACGAGGAUUUUUUAGACCUUUCCGUUGACGUGGAACAAAACACAUCGAUCACUCACUGCUUAAGGGGUUUUAGCAACACAGAAACUCUGUGCAGUGAAUACAAAUAUUACUGUGAAGAGUGUCGCAGCAAGCAGGAAGCACACAAACGGAUGAAAGUUAAAAUACUGCCCAUGAUUCUAGCUCUACACCUGAAGAGGUUUAAGUACAUGGAUCAGCUUCAUCGAUACACAAAACUGUCUUACCGGGUAGUUUUUCCUUUAGAACUUCGUCUAUUUAACACCUCCGGCGAUGCAACCAAUCCUGACCGAAUGUACGACCUUGUUGCCGUGGUGGUUCACUGUGGAAGCGGCCCCAAUCGAGGACAUUACAUCGCAAUAGUUAAGAGUCAUGAUUUUUGGUUGUUGUUUGAUGACGACAUUGUAGAAAAAAUAGACGCACAAGCUAUUGAAGAAUUCUACGGGUUGACAUCUGAACUCUCAAAGAACUCUGAGUCUGGUUACAUCCUUUUCUAUCAGUCUCGGGACUGAGGGGGACCGUGAUGAAGAGAUGCUUUCUGCCUCAUUUCUUCUCUGGUUAUUUCGGAAAGGAUCAAGCACUGAUUUUUCAAGAAAAGAGAAAUGCAGGAAGCUCAGGGGGCAGUAGCACACUUUGCACACAAUAAAGCAAAGACUGUGGGUUUAACACGCUUUUCCUAUCAUGGUAGUUGAUUUAUUUGCUCAGGUAUCAUGCCGUCCGCGCAGUUCCACACAGCCAGGAAGUGAGAUCAGACACAGCAGCUCCUCUCUCGGAACCGCCUUCCGGGUCACUUGGCUAAUUGGGCUGUUUCGACAGAUAACGCUGGGAGAAAAUGAUGAUGUAUUUUGACAACUUGCUUUUAAGACACAGUUGCUAAAGCCUUCGGGCCGGCUGGAAUGGGUGUCUUCAGAGGACAGAGCCUGCCUGAUUGCAGCAUUGCACAGAGACUCGCCACGGAGAAUGUGGGCAAGGUCACAGGACGGGGGAAGUGGACACGUUUUUUACUUUGAGGGCUUAAACCAAAUUGUCGUGGAAUUUGAGGCUGUGUUUAUGCAGCUUUCUGCACACGCAGAGAAAGAAGCAAAGUGAGGCUGAGUCUGUUUUUUUACGCGAGUUAGGCCACCGCAUGUUUAAGAAAGAUAGAUGAAGUCAUUUGCACAGAGGUACAGCAUAGGAUACUACGCUGUGUUUGUUUCUACAUUUUGCAUUUAAAAAACUACAGUAAGAGGCAAAGUUAAACUUUCACAAUAAAGCAAGUUCUAGCAUUUUUAUCGAGUUCCUUGGUAGUCACACACUGUUCACAUCUACACCGUGUUUAAUAGUAUGAUUUGUCAGGGGAGGGACUGUGGGGGUGAUGGUUCUCAGUUUCCUUUUUACUCUUAGUACAGCUGCAACUACGUAAAAUGUUUGGAAGCUUCUCAGAAACCCAGUAUACUCUAAAAACCUAGGGUUAGGGCUGGGGAGAAAAACGCAGGUAUGGUAAGGAAAGUGACCCGUACAGAAAGCAUUGUGAGAUUGUUGGUUGGCUGUGGUUGUAAUGAGGGGUGGGUUUCCGUUGUAAAUGGUGGCUGACUGCUCUCUAACUGUGUACAUGUUUGUUGGGUGGCUGACCCAUAUUUUGUAUAUUGGAAUAAAAGUUCCUAUAAAUUAUCGUAACUGAAAGUAAAUAUUCUAAAUUAAGUCUCACUGCUAAGUCAUGUGGCUUCCGUCUUGGAAACUUCACUGUGUAAGAUGCUCAAGACGGGGGCCGUGAGACUCCAGAAGGGAAAAAAGGAAACGUGUAACACAUCAGGUCUUGUUGCCUCGAACCAUCAGUAUCGGGUUUUUCUUUUCCAUGAUGGCAGUAGAAAGACCUCACGUUCAUAACAUACUACUCUUGAUACUUUUCUUUAAGGAUACUUUUCAUUAAAGAUUCUCUCAUGAGGUAUUAAACUGGGAGCCGGGAGGCUAAGGCGCUCAGGUCCUGGCCCUUCAGUGAAUUUAACUGUGUGACCUUGGGCAAGUCACUUAACCUCUCUGUGCUUCAGUCUCCCUGUCUUGUAAAACGGGAGUAAUACCUACCUCACAGGGUUGUUGUGGGGAUUAAUUAGAUAUAAUGUCUGUAAAGCAUCUAAGGUUCUUGAAGAAGGCGCUAUAUAAAUACAAAAUAAUAAUCUAUUAAAGUUGGUUUAUUUGUGCUCA